AGUAGGGAACCUCAGGCCCCCAAUUUCACACGACAAACCAGCACCCACUACACCUGUUCAACAGAACAAAGGACCUAGGGCAGUGACUUAAGCUCCUCCUUAGAUUCCGGUAACAGGAUAUAGUAUGACUUGCCUGCAUUAUGGUAAGGAUCAUGGGGAUCGACUCUGUUAUCGCCUCAACAAUACUUGUCGUAUAUGUGGGAGUGCCCAGCACUACGCGCGAGAGUGCCUGAGGAAUCAGAACCAGGCCAGAUCUCUUAUUCAAAGCAGAGCU
rnacentral:lncRNA from 1 species